AUGGCCGCGGUAUUUUGACCGUGCAAAGGUAGCAUAAUCAUUAGUCUAUUAAUUGUGGGCUUGUAUGAAUGGUUUGACGAAGUAUUAACUGUCUCUUUAAUAAUAUUAAAAUUUAAACUUUUAGUUAAAAUGCUGAAAUUUUUUUAUGGGACGAGAAGACCCUAUAGAUCUUUAUAUUUUGAUUUUUCAUUAUUUUUGGUUUAUUAUUUAUUUAUUGGUUAAGAUGUUUUGUUGGGGUGACAUUGAGAUAUAAUUAACUCUUUAUGUUUUUAUACAUUGAUUUUUGUUUUAUUGACCUUUUAAUAUUGUUGUAAGAUAUAGAUACCUUAGGGAUAACAGCGUAAUUUUUCUUGAGAGUUCAUAUCGACAGAAUAAGUUUGCGACCUCGAUGUUGGAUUAAGAUAAAAAUUAGGCGUAGGUGCUUAAUUAUUUGGUCUGUUCGACCUUUAAAUUCUUACAUGAUCUGAGU
rnacentral:rRNA from 1 species